GUACAAUAAGAACUUCAAGACACUGAGGAAAGAAAUUGAAGAAGACCUCAGAAGAUGGAAAGAUCUCCCAUGCUCAUGGAUUGGCAGGAUUAAUAUAGUAAAAAUGGCCAUUUUACCAAAAGCAAUCUACAGAUUCAAUGCAAUCCCCAUCAAAAUACCAAUCCAAUUCUUCAAAGAGUUAGACAGAACAAUUUGCAAAUUCAUCUGGAAUAACAAAAAACCCAGGAUAGCUAAAACUAUCCUCAACAAUAAAAGGACUUCAGGGGGAAUCACUAUCCC
rnacentral:lncRNA from 1 species